rnacentral:misc_RNA from 1 species
AGGCGUCUGCAGCGAGCUUGGCUUUAUAUUUCCUUGAACCAAUGCUCUCUGAGCCCGGGCUUGGUAGAUCGCUCGGCCAGCGUGAUCAUCUCGCGUUAGAUGAACCCAAGGCCUUGCUGCCCUCGCCCACCUGAACCCCUCCGUUCAGGAUGACGGUCAAGUUCCGCUGCAGACACCUA